AAUCAUUAUUGUUUCUUGAAAUCAUUCAUAUUUAUCGUUGUUAGAUCAAUUACUUUCACAAUCAACUUUAAACAGAGGAAGAAUGAGAAUGAGAUAUUAUAAUGCAGACAUCCUAUGAAAUUUUACCGUCAACUGUUCCGAAUCUCAUGUCCGAUAUUCCAUAGAACAAAUCAACAUAGAAAAAGCACACAAACACGAUUUAAAAACACACGCGCAAAACAUGAAUAAACAUAGAAAGUAGUUUCAAGAACAAAGUAGAAGAGAAAGAUGUCCCCAGAAUAAAUUAGUUAAAGUAGAAUAGGAAUUGUGUAUAGGUAAGUUGAACAAUUCUAACCAAGUCGAGAAUUCAAUGAAUAAACACUCAACAUUACAUUAUUAACUGAUCGCUUAUUUGCAGGUUAGACUAGUGUUCUUUUCUUCCUUUUUAAAUUCUUAGAGAAGUAAUCACUAGAUGUUUCUACAAAUUAUUGCAAUACCCCAAACAAUGGCCCAGAUCCAUCCAACAAAUGGCAAUAAUAAUUGGAGAACCCCAGUGAUAAUGUCUGAAGCGUCAUUAUUUAGUAUUCCAAUAAUAAUCAUCCCCAAACCAAAAAUAAUUAUGUUCAAUACUCCAAAUAAUACGUAUUUGCCUUUAUCAUGGGGUGAGGCUGUUGGUGUAGAAAACUUCUUGAGUCUUUCCCAAACUACUCUCAAUGCAUUUGACAUUCUUGAUCUUUAACCUGAAAUAAUAACAAUAUUAAUAGUUUUUGGUGAUUCUAAUAAUUUUAAAACUGGGCAUUAAUAUCCUCAUUGUGAGGGGUUAUUGGGUAGUAAUUCUUUUAUUUAAAAACCGAGUGGAUAUUCCCGCCUAAUUUUGUGUGGAAAUUUAUCGUUACUUUCGAACGCAUUCUUUUUAUCUUGGCUAGCAUAUGAACAAAUUAUAUGGAAAAAUGCAACUAACUUAACGUAUAGAAUUAAAUAGAUGAAAAUGAUAAAUAUACACUAAAGAGUUUUUAUGUUAUAAUCUAAAUGGGGACAUCUUUCUCAGCACAUAAAUCCAUAUAAAAAAAAAAUCGAGUUAAUUUAUCCGAGUUGUCAAUUAAAAAAUUUUGUAAUUAUGUUAUAUAAUCUUAAAUGCAUUACAUUAAAAUUCAAGAAUUAAACUUAAACAUUUAAAAAUUAGUUUAUGAAUUUGCCUCUGGUCAACCUGCAUUCUGAUGGUUUUUUUGUAUUAUGGCUGCCUUCUGGAUUAAUCUUAACCUUUUCUAUUAUUUUCUUGUGCGCAUGUCUUACAGAGACUUUUUCAAACAUAUCCUCUCUAAAAUGGUCUGAAACUGGUUUAAAUCUAUCUGAAUUAUUUUUUAUUGAAGUUCCGAACAUAUGUGGCCCAUCCGAUCCGCUACAAAGAGUUUGUUGUUGAAUAUAAUUAGGAGUUCUAUAAUCUGGAGCGUUUAACAUAUUCAUUCUGUAAUCAGGUGUUUUUUGAUUUUUUGAAAGAAGGUAAGGAGUUUUUUCAGGAUCACUAUUUGUACUAUCAGAAGGUGUACUUGUAGAAGCAAAGUCAUCAUCAAGUGAAGUUGUCUUGUUUAAACCGGUAAGCACCUGUUUUUUUUCAAAAACGGGUUUAGGGGUGGUAUCUUCAUUAUGUUGCAUACCACUCAAUUCAUCAAAGGAGCUGGACAUUUUUAUAUUAACUUUAUUUUUUAGGAUUGUGUUUUUCAAGUCAAGAAACUUUGAGGCUGCAGCGCUGACACUUACUUCACUUCCGUUAACGGCAUUAGAAACCACUUCGUAGAUAGAAUUUAGUCCAUUUAUUAGCCUCUCAGAUAGUUGAACAUAAUCCUCUUUUUUUCUUAA
rnacentral:antisense_RNA from 1 species